UCUGACUGCCACCUUCCCUUCUUUCUGUGUUGCCUGGAUAGGACUGUCAGCUGGUCGCGUUUCCCAUUGGUCACCGUUUCUGGAAGCCCGCCCCCACGUUUCCGGGAGCCCGGCGGACGCUGGGUCUGCAGAUGCCAUCCAGGCGCACGGCGGGUAUAGUGGUUCCGCAACCUUGGGAUGUUCGGCCGAGCGCCUGCCUAACAUGGGAGCGCCUGCCUAACCCUCCUGACUGGAGGGUCAGCGGCGGGGAGUCCUGGCCUUCAAUCGGCCAUCGCCACGGCAGAAACUGGGGCCCGGGCUGCGUCCAGGCCCUUCCCCGUCCGUCCACAGGUCUCAUGGGCGCCCGGACUGGGGCGGAUGUAGUUUCCCGACCUCUGACACAUAGGAUCUGGAGAUUAAAGCUGCUCUGCUAAUAAUUAGGUUCCCACCUCUCAAGAUCAUUAGGAGCUUCUUUUCCAAUUCCUCUGUUUUGCAUGCAUUGGAAGGAUCUGGAGCUCAGGACCCACUACCUCCCCGGCCCACUGCAAGCUUGAACAUUUGAUGGUGGACACCCCUCCCUGACUUUGUAUUAUGGUCCAGAUUUUGGAUGAAUCUCUAUAAUAGAGAUUGAACAGUGUCACUGGCGUGGGGGUUACCUUCCCACUGUGUCCCCCAGAAGACAUGAGGCCACAGACUGCAGUGCCCGUGGACAGAGGAGCUGUGGGGAUGGAAGUGUGAUUGCUUCAUUCAAAUGCACGCCCCGGUGCGUGUGCGUCUCUUCUGAUGCAGCGCCCCAUGGUCUUCUCUCCGCUACAGAUUUCUGACUUAACAGGAAAGGCAAUUUUCCUCAAAAAGGGCAAAGAACAGCGGGAACAGUAGAGGGCACCUUCAACCCCAGCAUGGAAUUGAGGUUCCUGCUUCAAAAUGAACCAUCACAGCAAUUUUGGCUUUUUGAUUUGGACCCUCAUUUCCCUUAUAAUUUGAUCUUAUAUUGGAGAGAAGGGGCCUGUCUCUUAAGCCAGCUAGUUUUUGUACUAGAUAUUUAUAUAUCAUUUCAUUUGUUCCUUAGUGUUUUUUCAUUUCUAUUAUGAUUUGUUCUGUGGGCUGUGACUUACCCGUGUGUUUUUCACAUGUUUAUAAAGCUGAAUACUUCUGUAUGUCAGCUCAGCACCCCUAGCGUCAGCCAUGCUACUCUCCUGCUGUGCAUAGAUGGGGGCCUGUCCCCCUGCUGAAUCUCCUGGGUUCCUGCUGUCAACACCUGAAGGUACCCACCAGAUGUGUCUGUCACUUCCCUCCAUCCACCUCUCUUGUGUUUCUCAUGUUUCUGCCUCCCUAGAGACCAUUUCUCUCUAGAGCAGUGCUUUCCAAUAGAAAUACAAUGCCAGACACAUACGUCAUUUUAGAUUUUCUAGUAGUCACUUUAGAAAAGUUAAAAAGAGGCUGGGCAUGGUAGCUCACACCUGUAAUCCCAGCACUUUGGGAGGCUGAGGUGGGCAGAUUAGCUGAGGUCAGGAGUUUGAGACCAGCCUGGCCAACAUGGUGAAACCCCGUCACUACUAAAAAUACAAAAAUUAGCCGGGUAUGGUAGCUGGUGCCUGGGAUUACAGCCUCCCGAGUAGGCUGAGACAUGAGAAUCACUUGAUUCUGGGAGGUGGAGGCUGCAGUGAGCCGAGGUCAUGUGCACCACUGCAAUCCAACCUUGGCAACAGAGCAAGACUUUGUCUCACACAAAAAAAGAAAAAAAAGAAAAGAAAGAAAAGUUAAAAGGGAGCAGGUGAAAUUAAUAAUGUGUUUUAUUUCACCUAAAAUGUUAGUAUUAUCCAGAAUAUCACUUCAACGUCUUAUCAAAAUAAAAAUUAUUAAUGAGAUAGUUUGCAUUCUUCCUCUUUUUUGAGAUGGGCUCUUGCUUUGUUGCCCAGGCUGGAAUGCAGUGGCACCAGCAUAGCUCACUGCAGCCUCAAACUCCUGGGCUCGAGAUCCUCCUGCCUCAGCCUUCCUAGUAGUUAGGACUACAGGCACACACCACCAUGCCCAGCUAAUUGUUUUUCUUUUUUUGUUUGUUUGUUUUUCUUUUUUUUCUCUUUUCUUUUUUUUUUUUUUUGAGAGGAAAUCUCACUCUGUCACCCAGGGUGGAGUGCAAUGGCAUGAUCUCAGCUCAUUGCAACCUCUGCCUCCCAGGUUUAAGUGAUUUUCCUGUCUCAGCCUCCCAAGUAGCUGGGACUACAGGCGUGCACCACCAUGCCUGGCUAAUUUUUUUGUAUUUUUAGUAGAGACAGGGUUUCACUAUGUUGGCCAGGCUGGUCUUGAACUCCUGACCUCAGCUGAUCCACCCACCUCGGCCUCCCAAAGUGCUGGGAUUACAGGUGUGAGCCACUGUGCCAAGCCUUUUUUUUUUUUUUUUUUUUUCGAGAUAGGGUGAUAGGGUCUCACUCUGUCACCCAGGCUGGAGUGCAGUGGUAUGAUCUUGGCUCACUGCAACCUCUGCCUUCCAGGUUCCAGUGAUUUUUCCCACCUCAGCUUCCCUAUCAGCUGGGACUACAGGUACACGCCACCAAACCUGGCCAAUUUUUGUAUUUUUUGUAUACAUAGGGUUUCACCAUGUUGGCCAGGCUGGUCUCGAACUCCUGACGUCAAGUGAUCCAUCUGGCUUGGCCUCCCAAAGUGCUGGGAUUACAGGCGCGAGUCACCGCACUUGGCCUUAGCAAUCUUUCAAGUGCUCAGCAGCCACAUGUGGCAGUGGCUGCCUUAUUGGACAGCGCAGCUCUGAAUCGUGAUUUUAUGUACAUCCCCACUGCUCUCUCUGCCUCCUUUAUUCCCAUCUACCCCACACCCCUGAUGUCUAUUGGAGGGAGUCUACUGGGAGUGUGGAGGCUUUCCUGUCCCUAGCAUGGAUGACAUCAGCAGGUGGUGAUGAAAGUGAUUAAACAGCAUUCUCAUCACAAAAAAAGUCAAGUAUUUGAGGUAAUGGGUUGGUUAAUUUGAUUUCAUCAUUCCACAUCGUAAUGAAAAGUCAUACCAUCAUUUUAUACCCCAUAAAUAUAUACAAUUUAGAAGAUAGAUAAAAAUCAGCCAAAACAAUUCUUUGAAAUAUUUUUAAACAAACAUGUACAAUUUAUGGGGUACAAUAUCAUUUGUCAGUAUAUAUAAUUUUUUUUUAUGGGGAGUCAGUUAACACAGGAAACAGCCCCUUGAAAGGGAGAUACCCCCACACCCCUGGAGUAGCCCCUGGAGGACUAUCGCCUCCCUCUCUCCUCUCUUUCUGUCUCAUAUUCCUUUAAUUUGGAGAAUCAUUUCCAAUUCCUUAACAUUCUGGCCUGAUUUUUUUCUGUCUUACAUUCAAAGGUCACAGUUUUCCUCUCACCCUCAUUUCAGUCUUUUCCCAUAAGAUGUGACGUGCCUUUUUGUCUUGGUUGGGCAUUUAUUUGCAAUACAAGAAUGAUUGUUUUCUUUGAUACAUUAAUGACUUAGAUACUUUUCCUAGUAAAAUGUAUCUUAACAGAAUUCCAAAUUAAUUCUAGAGUUAAACUAGACAGCAUAUUUUUAAAGGUGUGUAUAGAGCUCCUUAUGUUUCUUCCUUGGUUUUUAAAAUGACAUAUUUAGGUCUAUAUAUUUUAGGAUAUAAGAUCUCUACGUGUUGCUUUGCUUCAUUGAACAUUUUUGGUGAUUAUUUUUAUUUUCUGUGUAUUUUAGGAUUUCCAUUAAACUAUAUUCUCAUUUCAAAUUUCUAUCUGAGUGAUAGAAUUAUUUUAAUGUAGGAAAGGUUCAUCAAAAAUGGGUGUAGUGAUUGUGUUCUUUCCUAUGCUCGAAUGGAAAAUGAUGAGGGGACACGAUGUUAGAGUUGCAGUGGGAAGGGGUGGAAAAGAGGGAUUCCAGAGUGCCAGGCACACAGGUUUUCUGGAAGGUUUACAUGAGGACUGCUGUGGUUUGAAUGUGUUCCCCGAAGUUCAUGUGUUGGAAACUCAACCCCUAAUGCAACAGUGUUGACCAGUGGAACCUUUAAGAGGUGAUUAGGUCAUGAAGGCUCUGCCCUCAUGAAUGGAUGAAGCUAGAGUGGGUUAGUUAUCUUGGGAGGGGGUUCCUGAUAAAAGGAUGAGGUUGGCUUCCUCCCUUUCUGUCUUUCCCCUUCUCCCUCUCACAUGUGGUCACUCUCUUGCCCUUCCACCUUCCACCAUAGGACGGCACAGCGAGACCUUCACCAGAUGCAGGCCCCUCACUUUCCCAGUGUUCAGAACCGUAAACCAAGUGAACUCUUGCUUAUAAAUCACCCAGUCUGUGGUAUUCUGUUAUAGCAACACAAACAGACUAAGGGACACUCAGUGGGCUCUUCUCUCUACCUGAUGGAGCACUCCCUGCGUGGUGCCUUGUAUUUGUAGACAUGAUGCUGUAAAUGCUCUUUGAAUGUCUUGAAGGCUUUUAUGUUUGAGGAGUUUACAGAGAAGCCCCUACAGGCUUCAGGUCCCUUCUUCUGUUGCUUCUUUGCUCUUUAGUACCUCCCCUAACCUGGUGCUAAAUUAGAUCAUAGUGUGGUCCUUGGACCAACAGUAUCAGUAGCACCUGAAAAUCAUGCUGGAAAUACAGAUUCACAGGCUGCUCCCCAGAAUACUGAAGAAGGAACUCUAGGAGUGAGACCCAACAAUCUGUAUUUAACAAGUCCCCAGGUGAGUCUGAUGCACACAGAAAUGUGAGCUGCUGUAUUAGAUGGUGUUGAGUUCAUGCCACCGAAUCACUGACACACACGUCUGCUCACUGCUUGCUCUUUGCACAGGCCCCUGGAUCCUCCUGGAAUCCCCGAUCCCUGUUGCUCCCUCACGGAGUUUUCUAGUCCCUCUUACUUGAAGCAUGUCUUUCAGAGCCCGGCACCACCCAAGUUGGGUGUCUGGUGAAUUCUGUGGUCUGCAUGUCCAUGUUUGUGACAUUCUGGGAAGGGUGGCCCAGGCUGUGAUUUGCCAUCUACUGCAGGCUAUGGAUGGUAUUCAGAAGGGAGGGGAGAUGCUGUGUGCGUGUUCUGAAGGGUUUCCCACUAAACAGACCAACCCUCUCCAUAACUAUUUGAUUUUUACUUUAUCUCCUCGUUGACUUCACAGUGUCAGUGCAGUUUGUGGAAACAUCUCUACGGGGUGAUGCAUGCAGAUAAAUGUUUAUGUGAACAUAUAAAGUCUGCAUGUGUGGGUGAACACUCCACAUGAGGUCAUUGUCCAUCAUUACAUAUCUGUGGUGUCUGGCUCAUUCCUCUCAUUUUCUGUCAUUUUACCUACUUUUACCUGAAGUACUAUGACUAUUUAAUAACUAUUAAAUAUUUCAUUUCAGCUACACCUCUAUGGUAUUUUUUCUCCUUACAUCGGACCUUCCUCCCUUACUGGACUUCAGUGUGGGACCUGCAGGUCUCAGGCCUUCUGGGAAGUGCCAGCUUUUCUUGAAUGUUCUCUCUGUCUGGCCAGCUCAGGCUGGAACAGUGGGUGUUGGUGCCAUCCUGUGGCUAUAGGUGAUAAGCCGGCUGUUCUUCACUGACCCGGUCUUACCUUGAACCCUGGAGUUCUCACAUGCAUGGAUUUAAAUGCUGUGUCUUUCUAAGGGCACAUUAUGGCCAUUUUCCUUAUCUCCCUCCCAAGGGGCUGUUUCCUGUGUUUAUUGACUCCCUGUUUAAAAAAAAAUAUAUGUAUAUAUAGACAAAUUGGAUUGCAUCCCAUAAACUGCAUGUUUUAAAAAUACUUCAAAGAAUAGUUUUUCAUUUUUUUCUUGCUGAUUUUUAUGUAUCUUCUAAAUUGUAUAUAUUUAUGGGGUAUAAAAUGAUGUUGUGAUUUUUCAGUACAGUGUGGAAUGAGAAUCAAAUUAACCUAUCCGUUACCUCAAGUACUUGACUUUUUUUGUGAUGAGAAGGCUGUUUAUCACUUUCACUCACCAGCUCCUGCUGUCUUCCAUGCUGGGGACAGGAAAGGCUCCACGCUUGACUUUCCCUCCUGUUUUCUUAUCUGCUGUCAACCCCUGAAUGUACCCUCCAGGAUUGCCUUCUAUACCUUCUACAUCUAGCUCGAUUGUUGUGCACCCACCUUCCUCCCAGGGACUGUCCUUAGGGAGUGACUUUAUGCACAGACUUAACGUGCUCUUCCUGCCUCCUUCAUCCCCAGAAGCCCCCAUCUCAGCCCCAUCUGAUUAUUUCUUCCCUCUCUCAUUUCCUGUUAUGCUGUUGGUUUUCUAACCUGAAGGGUAACUUCUUACUCCUUAGUUUUUUGCCUUAAUUUCUAAGUCAUAGGCUACUUUCAGGCUAAAAGUUUUCCUCCAGCCGUGGUUUUAGUCUCAUUCUGUAAGUCUUGCUAGGUAGUUUAUUCAUUGGAAAUUUUUUGUUUUUGAGACAGAGUCUCGCUCUAUCACCCAGGCUGUAGUAUAGUGGUGCCAUCUCAGCUCACUGCAACCUCCGGUUCCUGGGCUCAAGCAGUUCUCUUUCCUCAGCCUCCUGAGUAGCUGGGAUUAUGGGUGCGUGCCACCACACCCAGCUAAUUUUUGUAUUUUUAGUAGAGACGGCAUUUCGCCAUGUCAGCCAGGUUGGUCUCGAACUCGUGACCUCAAGUGAUCCGCCCGCCUUGGCCUCCCAAAAUACUGGGAUUACAGGGGUGAGUCACCGCACCCCACCCCUUGGCACUAUAUUUAAGUGAUGAUAUUUUUGGACACUGAGGUAGCCUCAUUCCACAGGUUUAGAUCUGAAGCAUUUUCACUAUUGCUUCUUUCCAUGUAUUUCCUGGUUUGCAGGUCAGUUUCUUUUAAUUCGUCAUUGACACAGUGGUUUAUAUGGCUUUUAAUUUCAAAAGAUUUUUUAAAAUAUCUUUUUGCCGAUUUUUAUCUAUGUUAAUUUUAACUAGACAUGUUCCCUGGAAGGACAUCACUAGUUUUUUUUUUUUUUUCACUCUGUUUAUAAUUUAAUGGAUUUUCACAUCUCAAGCCAGCUAAGAGUAUGGGAAAUAGGACUCGUUAAAGCACAGAUAUCACACAAGUGAUUCAGAUUCACGAGGGUAACCCAGAUGAAGAUACCCCAUCAGCCUGAGUCUCUUAAAGGCCUUUAUACACAUAUGUCUACACAUAGGGAUUUGGAUUAUCUCGGGAUCCCACAUCCUCGCUGUCCCCUGUCCCCCCGCAACAUCCCCCACCAAUAACUUUCUGAAGUUUUCUAGUCCCUCCUUUUUGUUUGUGCUCCUUAAAGCCCAGCCCCAUGCCUGACUUUGGUUCCCAGUGAGCAUUGUACAUUUGUGGAUAUUAAAUCUUUGGCAAAGUCAUUUACCUGGACUGGAA